GAGAAACUUUGCAUCAGCAGCUCCAUGCUCCAGUGCUCUGCGAGAGUUUAUAUUCCUGACAGUUGAACACUGGAUGACUGACAGCUGUCCUUCAUCACAACUGAAGACACAGAAAUCCUCCUCAUCAAAAACAUGACUUUGAUCUGCAUCCUCAUCUGGACUCUCCUCUGCUGCUGCUUCACAGAGGUCAGAGGUCAGGUCACAGUGACUCAGCCUGCAGCCGUGAGAGCUGAUCUUGGAGGAUCUGCCACCAUCACCUGUAGGACCAACUAUGGAGUAUAUAGCAGUAGCUAUUUACACUGGUACCAGCAGAAAGACAGAGCAGCACCGAAACUGCUCAUGUACAUCACCAGCACUCGAGCAUCAGGGACUCCAAGUCGUUUUAUAGGCAGUGGAUCAAACUCUGACUUCACUCUGACCAUCAGUGGAGUUCAGGCUGAAGAUGCUGCAGUUUAUUACUGUCAGAGUUUUCAUGUCAUCAGCAGCCAGUACGUGUUCACACAGUGAAAAACAGUCAUACAAAAACCUCCCUCAGUCAAACUGAACUGAAACUAUGUUGCUGCAGCUUCCAGCUGCUGCAGAAACUGAUAGUUUACUGAAAUCCUUCACAUGGAUACACACAAAUUUUCAUGAAGGUGUUUCAAAAUAAAUGAGUAAAAUGUA